GGGUUGUGAGGUUAAGCGACUAAGCGUACACGGUGGAUGCCCUGGCAGUCAGAGGCGAUGAAGGACGUGCUAAUCUGCGAAAAGCGCCGGCGAGGUGAUAUGAACCUUUGACCCGGCGAUGUCCGAAUGGGGAAACCCAGUGCAAUCCGUUGCACUAUCGUUAACUGAAUACAUAGGUUAACGAGGCGAACCGGGGGAACUGAAACAUCUAAGUACCCCGAGGAAAAGAAAUCAACCGAGAUUCCCCCAGUAGCGGCGAGCGAACGGGGAGCAGCCCGGAGUCUGAAUCAGCUUGUGUGUUAGUGGAACGGUCUGGAAAGUCCGACGGUACAGGGUGAUAGUCCCGUACACGAAAGCACACAUGCUGUGAACUCGAAGAGUAGGGCGGGACACGUGGUAUCCUGUCUGAAUAUGGGGGGACCAUCCUCCAAGGCUAAAUACUCCUGACUGACCGAUAGUGAACCAGUACCGUGAGGGAAAGGCGAAAAGAACCCCGGCGAGGGGAGUGAAAAAGAACCUGAAACCGUGUACGUACAAGCAGUGGGAGCCUCUUUAUGGGGUGACUGCGUACCUUUUGUAUAAUGGGUCAGCGACUUAUAUUCUGUAGCAAGGUUAACCGUAUAGGGGAGCCGAAGGGAAACCGAGUCUUAACUGGGCGUUAAGUUGCAGGGUAUAGACCCGAAACCCGGUGAUCUAGCCAUGGGCAGGUUGAAGGUUGGGUAACACUAACUGGAGGACCGAACCGACUAAUGUUGAAAAAUUAGCGGAUGACCUGUGGCUGGGGGUGAAAGGCCAAUCAAACCGGGAGAUAGCUGGUUCUCCCCGAAAGCUAUUUAGGUAGCGCCUCGUGAACUCAUCUUCGGGGGUAGAGCACUGUUUCGGCUAGGGGGCCAUCCCGGCUUACCAACCCGAUGCAAACUACGAAUACCGAAGAAUGUUAUCACGGGAGACACACGGCGGGUGCUAACGUCCGUCGUGAAGAGGGAAACAACCCAGACCGCCAGCUAAGGUCCCAAAGUCAUGGUUAAGUGGGAAACGAUGUGGGAAGGCACAGACAGCCAGGAUGUUGGCUUAGAAGCAGCCAUCAUUUAAAGAAAGCGUAAUAGCUCACUGGUCGAGUCGGCCUGCGCGGAAGAUGUAACGGGGCUAAACCAUGCACCGAAGCUGCGGCAGCGACACUAUGUGUUGUUGGGUAGGGGAGCGUUCUGUAAGCCGUUGAAGGUGUGCUGUGAGGCAUGCUGGAGGUAUCAGAAGUGCGAAUGCUGACAUAAGUAACGAUAAAGCGGGUGAAAAGCCCGCUCGCCGGAAGACCAAGGGUUCCUGUCCAACGUUAAUCGGGGCAGGGUGAGUCGACCCCUAAGGCGAGGCCGAAAGGCGUAGUCGAUGGGAAACAGGUUAAUAUUCCUGUACUUGGUGUUACUGCGAAGGGGGGACGGAGAAGGCUAUGUCAGCCGGGCGACGGUUGUCCCGGUUUAAGCAUGUAGGCGGAGGUUCCAGGUAAAUCCGGUACCUUAUUAACGCUGAGGUGUGAUGACGAGGCACUACGGUGCUGAAGUGAUAAAUGCCCUGCUUCCAGGAAAAGCCUCUAAGCAUCAGGUAACACGAAAUCGUACCCCAAACCGACACAGGUGGUCAGGUAGAGAAUACCAAGGCGCUUGAGAGAACUCGGGUGAAGGAACUAGGCAAAAUGGUGCCGUAACUUCGGGAGAAGGCACGCUGAUAUGUAGGUGAAGCCCCUGCGGGCGGAGCUGAAAUCAGUCGAAGAUACCAGCUGGCUGCAACUGUUUAUUAAAAACACAGCACUGUGCAAACACGAAAGUGGACGUAUACGGUGUGACGCCUGCCCGGUGCCGGAAGGUUAAUUGAUGGGGUUAGCGGCAACGCGAAGCUCUUGAUCGAAGCCCCGGUAAACGGCGGCCGUAACUAUAACGGUCCUAAGGUAGCGAAAUUCCUUGUCGGGUAAGUUCCGACCUGCACGAAUGGCGUAAUGAUGGCCAGGCUGUCUCCACCCGAGACUCAGUGAAAUUGAACUCGCUGUGAAGAUGCAGUGUACCCGCGGCAAGACGGAAAGACCCCGUGAACCUUUACUAUAGCUUGACACUGAACACUGGUCCUUGAUGUGUAGGAUAGGUGGGAGGCUUUGAAGCGUGGACGCCAGUCUGCGUGGAGCCAACCUUGAAAUACCACCCUUUAAUGGCUGGUGUUCUAACGUAGACCCGUAAUCCGGGUUGCGGACAGUGUCUGGUGGGUAGUUUGACUGGGGCGGUCUCCUCCCAAAGAGUAACGGAGGAGCACGAAGGUUGGCUAAUCCUGGUCGGACAUCAGGAGGUUAGUGCAAUGGCAUAAGCCAGCUUGACUGCGAGCGUGACGGCGCGAGCAGGUGCGAAAGCAGGUCAUAGUGAUCCGGUGGUUCUGAAUGGAAGGGCCAUCGCUCAACGGAUAAAAGGUACUCCGGGGAUAACAGGCUGAUACCGCCCAAGAGUUCAUAUCGACGGCGGUGUUUGGCACCUCGAUGUCGGCUCAUCACAUCCUGGGGCUGAAGUAGGUCCCAAGGGUAUGGCUGUUCGCCAUUUAAAGUGGUACGCGAGCUGGGUUUAGAACGUCGUGAGACAGUUCGGUCCCUAUCUGCCGUGGGCGCUGGAGAAUUGAGGGGGGCUGCUCCUAGUACGAGAGGACCGGAGUGGACGCAUCACUGGUGUUCGGGUUGUCAUGCCAAUGGCACUGCCCGGUAGCUAAAUGCGGAAGAGAUAAGUGCUGAAAGCAUCUAAGCACGAAACUUGCCCCGAGAUGAGUUCUCCCUGAGACUUUAAGUCUCCUGAAGGAACGUUGAAGACGACGACGUUGAUAGGUCGGGUGUGUAAGCGCAGCGAUGCGUUGAGCUAACCGAUACUAAUGAACCGUGAGGCUUAACCUUACAACGCCGAAGGUGUUU
rnacentral:rRNA from 1 species